UACAGAGGUCCCAAGCGUUACUGAGAAUCACCGGGUUUAAAGGGUGCGUAGGUGGUCCGUUAAGUCAGUUGUGAAAUCCCCGGGCUCAACCCGGGAACUGCUUCUGAUACUGGCGGACUUGAGGCCAGUAGAGGUCACUGGAACUGACGGUGGAGCGGUGAAAUGCGUAGAUAUCGUCAGGAACGCCAGUGGUGAAGACGGGUGACUGGGCUGGUUCUGACACUGAGGCACGAAAGCGUGGGGAGCGAACGGG
rnacentral:rRNA from 1 species